CUCUUUUUGGAUCAAUAACUUCGCUAAAUUGGGAUAGUUAGGUAAUGAAUCUAAACUAAUAUUCUUAUUUGGAGAGAAAUAUGAUAGGAGCUUCUACUCUUAUGGCUUCUUAAUGUGAGUGCAUACAUAGCUUAAAUAAACAUCUUACUGGAGAUAUGCUUGUAUUAGACAUUUCGCUUAUAUUCGGGUGUGCUGAGUGAAUGACCUUCGUUUCAAACUUGUGUUUCUGCUGGCAGCGGUUUUUCUCUGUGAAAUUGGUUAACACUGCAGAUUACAGAAGCAUCACAUGCUGUAUAGGAUCGUUGGCAGUCUUCUCGUCAGAAUUCUACCUGCUUCAUGUGGUAACUGCAACAGAGAACAAGGGAAUCAUUGAUUGCUCAAAUAAUUGAGGUUUCAACGUGAAUAAUGAGUUGUGAAGAUCAAGCAAUGUCCAUUAAUGUAAAGUAACUUGUGAUGGAGCCUGCAACUAUAACUACUCUGAUGAAGUAUUCUAGCUGAUUCCUUCUGGUAGGGUCCCAACUUUAAAUGCCAAUUUGUUCUAUAUGUGGAUGAUUGAACUUGGCAGUACCCUCAUUGAAGUUCUUCUAGCUACACUACUUUUCUUGUUGCUGAAAUCUUCUGCCAGUUGGAUGAGAAAUUUCCAAAUGAAUUUCAUAUUGUACUCAUAGUGAUAUCAGAUAUGCUAUUCCAAAACUACUAUGAGGUUACAAUUUAAUAAAUUUCAUCUUGUACUUAU